ensembl:lncRNA
UUUUUUUCUUAGCAAUACACAAUCUACUAAUAAGCCUAUAAAAGACAUUCUGCAUUUCUAUUACACAGUUUUUAAUCUCUUGCAUUCCUUUUGGUUCUUUCUUAGGAUUUUCACGACCCUCCUUGCUGCCCAUCUCUUGUUGCAUGUUGUCCACUUCCUCCACAAGAUCCCUUAGAAUAUUAAUAGUACCUGUUUUAAAUCCUUGAUCUGAUAAUUAUAAUAUUCCAGCCUUAGGUGGUUCUUAUGCUUGCUCUGACUCAUCAAAUUGUUUUUGCUUGUUUGUUUUUUUUUUGGGGGGGGGUUGCCUUUUGGAAUACCUUGCAAUUUUUUUCUUGAUAGCAGGACAUAAUGUACCUGAUAAAAAAAGAUCCGCUGUAAACAUGCCUUUAGUAACAUGGUCCAGAGUUUGAAAAUAGGGGAGAGUGUUCUACAAUGCUGCAGUAAAGUAUUUUAAUUAAUGUUUACCUCUGUUCUGUGAAUUUCACCAGUGUUUCUCCGUAUUUUUUGCCUCUCUUAGAUAGGAAAGGAUGACUAGAGUCAGCAGGGGUUGGAUAUUUCCCUUCCCUGUGUAACUUAGGCUCUGAUAAUACCCUAUUAGAUUAGACUUUGGUUAAUUAGUUUCCUUUGAGGGAAGGGCUUGCUAAGAAGUGCAGAUUGUUCUGGCAUAUUUUAAAAUUGCUCAUUUCCUUCUCCUUUCUGAGAAAGGAAAUUUCCUUCUUCUUCUCCUCUAAUACUCCUUCCUUUCCUUCCUUUUUUCUCUAAAUUUACUAUAUAAUGCUGGUACCAUAUAAAGCUCACAAUAUUGGGAGGUCCCUUUUAAGAGCAGGUUCUCCUGGAGUUUUUAACUCUCAGACUUGUCCACAUUGAGACUCUAGCAAUUUGUCAAUUCUGAUUUAUGUUUUACUACUCUGACACUAGUUCCUGUGGCAUUUUCCAUUUGUGAGUUCUUGCUCCAGUAAGUGUGACUCCUUGUAUUCACUCAUUUAUCUCUCCAAUCUUGGGCAGUGGUUUACCCUAUGUCCUCCCCUUUCUUACAAAUCCAAGAAGAGUUGUUGAUUUUCAGUCUGUUCGGCUUUUUACUUGUUAAAAUGAAGUGGCAACUUCCAAGCUCCUUUUGUGUGGAACUGGAAACCAGAAGUCCAGGGUAAUUUUUUCCUGCCUUCAGAGUCAACCUGAAAAAUUGGCUCCUCUUGACUUUCAAGCCUGUGGACUUUCAGACUGGACCUACAACAUCAGCUCUUCUAAUUCUCCUGGUUCUUAGUCUGUGGACUUGCACUUGAAUGAUACCAUCUUCCUCUUGGGUUUCCAGCUUGCUUAUGUCAAAUCUUGGGACUUCUUAGUUUCCAUUGUUAUAUGAGCAAUCCCCUUAUUAUAAAUCUGAUGAACACACCAGUCUUUAUUUUUCUUUUCUCUGUUAGCUAAUUGAAGAUAAAUGAAAUAGAUUCUUUUAACUUCUAAUUUUAAAGAUUAAGAAAUACCUUGAGCAGAUGUGAGAGUAAACCUUUCUUCAAUAAUUAAUAUAAACAGAGUAUCUCUCUCCCUCCAUCUCCCUCUCACACUCUUUUCUUUUUCCCUAAAGAAAUAAGUGUUUCACUUUUAUCACACACCAGGUGGCAAAACAGUGAGUGGAAAAUAUGUAAGAAGAGUAGGUGUGCACAGACAAUAAUAAUAGCACCUUCUCCUGAAUUGUAAUUUGUAUCUUCAAAGCAUUUUUUCAUAGAUUUGAGUCACAUAAAAUAACUAGAGGAUGGGGAGAGUAUUUUCAUCCUUUCCAGAUGAGAAAAUCAAGGCAUUACUGAGAAAAGUAGGUGGAAGAACUAAAUUUUCAAACUGGGCCUUCUGACAAUAAAUCAAGUGUUCUUACAACUGAAUGACUCUGCUUAUGGACAGAACUGCAUUAAUUACAUCUUUCAAAAGGGACUUGACAGUCACUCAAAAGACAAAGGACAAAUAAGACUGAGUGGAUUUCUGCUCCAAAAGGUAAAAGGGAUGAUUUAAGUUUAGAGACACUAAUAGCUACAUUUAAAGAAAAUAAUAUGGCAGGGUGAGUUGUAGGUCAUUUCGAAGAGGUGUUUAAUGUAUGUACUCUAUGAGCAAAGGUAGUUUCAACAAGAAUGUUAAUGAAAAAGUAAUAAUAUUAAUUACAGUGGUAGGAAAAGUCUGCAUUUACUGAACACAUGUUAAAUUUGAAGAAUCUCCCAGGAAUUUCUGCUAGUUCUAAAAAUGAUUUGGCAACAGAAAUAUUAUUACCUCAUUUCAACAUAUUUGAUCAAACAGACUGAGAGAUGAAAUAACCUCUUCAAAAUAUAUGACAUUAAGAAUAUGUUAGGCUGAAAACGAGGAAUAUUUUUAAAAUGAAAGGAAAACAAAUCAGCAAACCUUUUUUUGAGAAUUUCAGAAUUAUUAAAUAACUCACAAAAUACUUAAUGUCUUUUCUCACUCAUUACAAAUAUAGUAUUUAGAGCUUAAAAGAAAAGCAGGAACUAACAAUAUCACAUACUACUGUCACAAGUUGUCUUCAGUUUUGUUCCCUAGAAAUAGACCAGAGACAAUGAUUCAUGUAAAGUUUAUUCAUUAGGAAGAACUGCCAGGGACUUAAAAUUGGUCAGGGAGAUGGAAAGUGAGAUUAGGGAGUGAGAAAAGCAAGGAAGUCAAGGAAGGUCCCAUCAAGAGUAAGUCUGGCUCAAUCUGAUACAGGAAAUUUGGAGAAAAAUGUAUAUCAUAUCUUAACAUUCUUCAUUUGAGGAAUAUUUAUCCCCCUGUCCACUUCAUUCAUUGGUGUAAGGCAAGAGUGUACAGGCAAGUUGGUUCCAGUUCUUAGACUGAAGACCAAGAGGGUUGUGGCAGCCUGACAGCAGUUCUCUAAAAUAUAGAGGCAGAUGCUGGCUAUUGGAUGGAAAAGCCACCAGAAGCCAGCUGAUACAAACAUCGAGAAAUUAAUUAUAAGGACAUGGGCAGAGCCCUGACACAGCUGUUGCUCCAGCCAAGUGAUUAUUCAAUAAUGGGUUUAUAUGAAGUACACGAGCUUAUUUAUAUUCCUUCUUAGCCUCUUCAUUUCUGCUGCACUUUCCUCUGCCCAUGGGUCACUGAUCACUGAGGAUGGUUAACCGAGAUGAAGGAGGUAAUCUCUUUGGUACAAUUUAAAUUCCACAAGGGUGCAAAUCUCCUAAGGAAACUGAAGGUGUUCUAGAGUUUUUCUCCAGCCUCUAUGUCUCAAACUAUAUGAAAUCAACAAUAUUCAAGCGUGCUAGGGUGUUACUUUGGUGACCCACAAAUGAACACCUUGGGUUAUUCCUUCCUGUGCUUUCUCAGGGUUUGGUGAAUGAAUUUGCUUUAGUCAGUGGGAAUUAGCAAGUGCAUGCACAUACACUCGAUAAGCAUUUGCAUAUUUGGAGUUUGCCUGCUUACAAGAACCACUUUUCACAUCCAGCUGCCAGGUGUAAGAAAUACCAGGAUAUUUUACUGGGGAGAAAGGGUCAUAUCGAGAGGACUUGUAGAUUAAGACACUGCGUAGAGUAAAAGAUGUCAAGGAAGAGAAGCAGUGUCUCAGCUGAUUUCUCAACUGAAUGAAGUAGUACACAUGCCCUCAGUGAAUAACUUGAGAAAUGAUGUGAAUAACAAUCAUAAGAAAUAACAAAUCAUUCUUGCUUCAGGCUACAAAUGUUGAUCUGUUUUGUUACACAGUAAAAUAUGAUUAAUACAUUUUUUUCUCUAUAGGAACAGUAAGUUCAUAUUAUUCAAAUGAAAAACACCAAAAAUGAUAGUAAUUAUACCAAGUCUCAUAGGCAAUACUACCAGUUAUCCAGUCUUACUUUGGUUAAUGCACCCUGUUAGUGUCUUUAUGGGUUAAUCACCAGUUAAUUUAGGCUGUGAGAUAGGUAUUAAUGCCUAAUCCCAGAGCUGAAGAAAUUGAGCCUCAGAGAGGUCAAAUGGCAUAAGGAUACAUAGUGAUAUGCAGAGUCAUAAUCUGAAUCCACCUUUGCCUGGAUGCAGGCUAUUUCUUUCCCUACCCUGCUGCAAAUUGCACUUUCAUAUAAGGGUCCUUAAACAUGACAGUUUAAGUCGUCAUUAGGCCUAUCAAUUUGCCAAAGGUAACCCACACGGUUGUGCACAUCUGUCUUUGAAAAUCCUUUACAUCCUGGAAGAAGGACAAUAAACCUGUGAAAAUGAUUCUCAAUUCCUUCCAUACAAAAAUGUUCUCAUUGUGAGGAUUAAUAGUGAAACCAAGAAAACAUUACAUCUUUUGGUAAUCUGAAUAAUUUUCCUACUUUUAUUACUGCAACUCUAGUUGUAAUGAUGAGGAAAUUCAAAUGUAUAACUUUCCCUAGCAUAAUUGUGAUAUGUAGCACUGAAGGGUUUAGGCUAUAGAGCAAAAGUGCCUGAAGUAAAUCAUGGUUAUUUCUCUUACUAGUUCUAUGAUUGUGAGCAAGUUGUUUAACCUCUCUGAGUCUUCAGUUUCUUCAUCUAUAAUAUAAUAGUGAUACUAUCCCCCUCAUUAACUCCACAAAUUGUGGGAUUAAAACAAUCGCUAUAUGUAAAGUGCUGAGAAUAGUGCCUAGUAUAGAGCAUACUCCGUCUCAGCGGUUAUAACCAUUACUAUUAUUGUUAUUGUCAUUAUUAUUAAUUUCCUUUAAUAAAUGGAAAAAACCUUAUAUUCAUGGAUACAAAACCACUGUUAAAAAUUUUGUCAGAAGUUUAGUUUUCAAAUAACUAUUUUGUACAACAAAUUUGACAGAAUAAAGGACUUUUUGACUUAAAAAAGAUAAUAUUAAUGUGCAUUUAAUUUUAUUAAUAUAUUAAUAAAAGAUAUAUUCUUAUGUUUCUUCUAUCUUCUGAGUUCAUCGUAACCCUGGACUUAAUGGAGAAAAAUAACAACUAAACAAAAACAAAAAAUGAAGACAAUAACAAUGAAAACAAAAAGAAAAGACUUUAGAUUUUGAUUUUGACAUUAUAUUAUCUUUCAUAAUUAGGAGGCUUUUCUUAUCUGCAUUUUCACAGGCCCUUUGCUUUCCUUUAAUAUAGCACUUAGUGUAUUUUACAGAGAUGCAUUUGCAUGCAUUUUCUCAUUAACUUUAGUUGUUCUUUGAAUCCAGAUACUGCUUACUAAAUAUUGUUACAUUUGUGCCAAGAUGUGUGCUUGGCACUGAAUGUCAGUUCAGAAACUAUUUGCUGAAUGAAUAAGCAAAUAAACCAUAAGUUGGAUGAAACAUUCCUCAUUAAGCAUAUCGUUCUCUUGGUUAAUAUAGACUUUAUCCAUAAAUCUUUGAAAUUUAUGAUAUCAAUGAUUAUUAUAGGAGAUAAUAAAAGACUAAUUUACAUGAAAAUAGACACACCAAAUUCUAGGUAUUUUUUUUUCUUUGAGCAACAUUUAGAAAUAAUUAUUCUUAAUUUUGGGAACAGAUGAUGACAGAUAUCCAGUAAGAUUUCAUCCAAUGUGAUGAUGAAAUGCUCUCAAAGUUAUUGACUCUAACGUAGUUUUAACUUGAGGGAAUACACAUCUGGAAAUAUGAGCCUUCAAAAACCAUGUGGGCAAAUGUCCAUACUACCCAAAGCAAUAUACAGAUUUAAUGUGAUCCCUAUCAAACUAUCAUGACAUUUCCCACAGAACUAGAAUAAAGUAAUCUUAAAAUGUAUAUGGAACCAUAAAAAAAAUCAGAAUCACCAAAGAAAUUCUGAGGAAAAAGAGCAAAUCAGGAGGCAUAACCCUCCCCAACUUCAGACAACACUACAAAGCUAACGUAAUCCAAAUAGCAUGGUAUUGGCACAAAAACAGACAUUUGGAUCAAUGGACCAGAACAGAGACCCCAGAGAUGAAUUCUUAUAUAGAUGGUCAAUUAAACUUUGACAAAUGAGGCAAGAAUAUAAAAUGGGAAAGUGAUAAUCUCUUCAGCAAGUGGUAUUGGGAAAGUUGGACAGAAUCUUACACCGUGCACAAAAAUAUACUCAAAAUGGUUUAAAGACUUAAAUAUGACAAGAUACUAUGAAACUCUUAAGAGAGAUCACAGGCAAAACAUUCUCUGACAUGAACUGUACCAAUGUUUUCUUAUGUCAGUCUCCCAAGGCAAUAGAAAUAAAAACAAAAAUAAACAAGGGGGACCUAUUCAAAUUUACAAGCCUUGACACAACAAAGGAAACUAUAAAAACAAUGAAAAAACCUAAAGAAUGGGAGAAAAUAUUUUCAAAUGAUGUGAUCAAGGGCUUAAUUUCCAAAAUACACAAACAGCUCAUGCAACUCAACAACCAAAAAACCAAACAACCCAAUCAAAUAAUGGGCAAAAGACCUAGACAUUUCUUCAAGAAAGACUUAUGGAUACAUUAAAAGAUGCUCAACAUUGAUAAUUAUUUGAGAAAUGCAAACCAAAACUACAAUGAGGUACCACCUCAUACCAGUCAGAAUGGCCACCAUUAAAAGCCUAAAAAAUAGGAGUUCCCAUCAUGGCUCAGUGAUUAACGAAUCUGACUAGGAGCCAUGAGGUUGUGGGUUCGGUCCCUGGCCUUGCUCGGUGGGUUAGGAUCCGGUGUUGGCGUUGCCGUGAGCUGUGGUGUAGGUUGCAGACACAGCUUGAAUCCAUUAUUGCUGUGGCUCUGGUGUAGGCCGGCGGCUACAGCUCCAGUUGGACCCCUAGCC